CAGAUUAAGAUACCAGCAUACAUUGUCGAUCAGCGUGAUGGAAAAUCGAUGAAGCGGCCCAAACAUAUCUUUUACUAUUUUCUCUUGUGAACAGUUUGCAGGAUCUGAAUGAUGAUGUUAAUCGAGACAUAUGCUACUUGCACUCGGAUGGUCAUAUUCAUGUUUGGAAGAACCGGCAAUUCUAAGGUGUUUCCUAUUAAUGCAUUGUUCUGGAGAUUUGGAGCUUCAAAGAAGCCUAAAGAAGCUACUGAGUGAGUUCAU